rnacentral:tRNA from 1 species
ACUGAAAAUCCUCGGU